UUUUUUAUUCUCUCUCUCCAGCGUUUAUGUGCGCAGCAAUGGAGAAAGGCGGCGCCGAGGAGCCGUUUUCGGCUUCCAUUUGAUCGGCGACUACCGCAAAUUAGGGUUUGAUCCAUCGAUUUCUCGAGGUAUGAAGUAAUCUGAGUCGAAUCUAUGUUUUCUUACCCUUUUCUUUGCGUCAAUGUGAAUCUUGCAAUGUGGGUUUUGGAUCUUGGGGGUUGGGGCUGAGAUCUCUGAAGUCGUGUUGGUUUUGGAUGAGAAUGGUGGGAUUUUUGAGGUUUUUGGGCCUAGUUUUUGUGGUGAUUCUUGUCUUGGGGGUUAGAAAACGGAAUGUGGGGUGUGAUUUGGGAGAAAACUGGGGCUUGGGUUCGGAUUUGUUGAGUUGCUUGUGCUACAAAGUGGAAGUGAGGUGGGCAAAUGAGGAUCUGUUUGAACAUAGAUCUAUGUAAUUCUUUUUGGUCAUAUAUAUAUAUUUAAAUUAUUGCAAUUAGAGAUCUAUGAUGCUUUAGCUUGAUGUUAUGAUAAUGACUAGUCUUUCUUGUAGUACGUAUCUUCAAUUAAUUUAUUUGUAAGGGGAAGAGUGUUGCGUACCAAGUGUUUCUUUCAAAUCUAGGGUUUCGUUCCAAAGGGCUAGAUAUUUAUCAGUCCUGAACAUUAUUUGCUUAUUUAUUGGUUGCUUAAUUUUGUUAUUCUUCUCGAUAAUUCCGCUCUAUGGUUUAUGAUAUUGGAUCCUGGAUCAAUAAUAGUGUCAAGUAUAAUUGUUGAGCAAAUAGGAUAUGUUUGGGCAUUAUUUUGUCUUGUGGCAGCAUGGGACCCGUGAUUUUCUCGUUAGACCAACUGAUGUUGAACAUGCUGUGACUUAAGCAUUUUUGCAUGAGCGGCUUCCAAAUGAGUGGUUGAUGAUGAACUUUCUGAUUAUUACCUGCCAGCUAAUUCUUUUUGCAUUUAUUAGAUGUCGGGGUUUUGGUUUUGACACAUUUUCUUCUCAUACUUUCCUUCCAAGCGAAGGCGUCUUCAAUUUUGAUUCAUGAGUAAUAAUAUAACCAAUAUUUCCAUGAUUGGCCUCAUUUGCAAUUUACUAUGCUUUUAUAUUUAUCACCAAGGAUCACCCAUGCGGUACCAUGCUGAGGCCGUGCUGGUAUGUGGCACGGGGUUGUGCCAACACUGUAUCAACGAAAUCACCUCUUGCAUUUUUUUUGAGACCAUUUUGAGUUUUUUUUUUUUUUUUUUUUUUUUUUUUUUUUUUUUUUUUUUUUUUUGAGGUAAGAGCUUUAGAAAAGUUUUUUCAUACUCUAUGUAGAUCCUGUAAAUCUAUUAAUAUUUGGAGCAAUCAAUAAGCUCCAUCGCAUAACGAGACCAACUUCUAGUGGAAAAAAACACAAAUAAGAAGAUUUCUUCCAAUUUCUUUCAUUAUUUUAGAUUUAUGAAUUUACCGAUGGUAGUGUAACUAGUGUUUUCCUAUAAGUCUCUAUCUAAUUAUGAUUUUGAUUUUGAUUUCAUACAUAUACUUUCAUAAUAUAUAGAAAAUGAUUUUUUUUUAAUUUAUUAAGAUAUCUGUGACUUUAUUCGUAAUAAAUUGUACGAGAUAUAAUACAUAAAUCAUUUUUAUAUCUGUUAGAGAUAUUAUAACAUUCUAAAAACUAACUUUUCAAUGUUUUCAUAUAAAUUUAAUUGAAAAACCUGUGCCAGUGUGUGCCAAUUUGCCUGUGGUGUGCCAUUGGCAUGAGGGAGAGUGCUGAUUUUGGCACACCCUAUGCCGUUGUGCCAUGCCGUGCCGUGCUGUUGGCACAGCUUGUCAUCCUGUCUUUUUUUCACUAUUGUUCUAAGCAAAGUAAUAUAUUGAUUGGCAUCACGCUAAGGUGAAUUGCUUUUAUUCUUUGCAUUUGGAUCUGUUUUUUCAGAGCUUUAGGUCUUAGGACAGAUUUCUUCCCAUUAGCAAGAAACCCUUAAAGUUUAAACUACCUUGUUGGCUUUUAUAGUAUUUAUGUUUGUCAGGUUUCUUCUAGAUGGUAAGGUCACUAUUAAUUCUGCAGAUCCUAUUGAUACAUGCCUUUGCAUGUUAGCCUGAUUUUACAGAAAAGUAAAGCUAUGCUAUGUGAAGCAGUAUCCAGAAUGACGUGACAUUCUCUUUGCAGUAAAUAUAUUAGACUCGUUUAUGGCUAGUUUAUAUUAUGGUGGCAGUGUUCUCGAUUGGUACCAAAGGACUGGGUCUUGGAUCUGCUUUCGAAGUUCCCAUUUGACCUAUUUAGUUUUAGCUUCCUUAAAAGUACUUUGGGCUUUUAAUGAUACAAAUAUAUCUGAUGUACUGCUAAACGGACAAAAAACAGUUAGGAUAGUAAGAUUGCAGAAUUGCUAGUUUCUUCAAUUGUUGAUUUUUAUUUACCAGAUCCAAACUUUGUAUUAGUGGAUUAUGGACCAAUAAUUUCUCAAUUCUAAUUUGUUGAACCAAAGGGAAUUUCUGGAUAAUAGCUCAUCUUGUCACAGCAUGAGAUAUGUCAUUUAUCCAUCUGACUGUUAAUGUAGAAUAUGCUGACUUUCCUCCAGCAUCUAGUGGGAACUUUUGUUUUGUUCGUUUUUUUUCCUGUUGUUCUGAUACUUUCCUUUCUGUUUUGAUAUUAGAAUUACAAAAGAGGCUCAUUGGAGCUUUCUGGAGCUGACAAUCUGCUCAAACAUUGAAACCAAUAUCGUUCUGGUUAUAAUAUCAAGCUUGGGAAUGUGGCGAAAUUGAGAUUUGUUGACACCAUAAUCAAGCCAAAAAUGAGCCUCUUGUUGGUAGUUGUGCUGGAUAGUAGUAAUUGCUGGAUCAAAUUGCUGUGAGUUUAGCGGCAUAAUACUCUUGAACUGAGACCUUGAGCUCUCCUGUAGUUCUGGGACUAGGAAGCAAGCUUAAGCAUUUGAUCUAACUAUUUGUAGUGGUAUAUUAGUUGAGUUAGACAUCAUAAUCUUUGGAUGAAAACUUAUCAGGGUCUUCAUAUCUAUCAUUUUCUAAAUUCCUGGUUGAAUCGACUUCAAUAUCAGCAUUUAUGAUGAUAAAAGGACAAUGCUUCUCUCUCUCUCUUUUUUUUUUUUUUGUUGGAUGGCAACAACGUACUGACUUUUAUAUAGUUACAGAAUAAGCAUCCUUGUUUCCUAUAGCAUGCCAUAUUUUUAUUCUGACAGUGUUGUUUGCCUUUUUCCUCUUUUGGUGGAUUUACUUUUUUUAAUUUAUGUCCUAUAAAGCUAUGCAUUUGUGACAUGUUCUGUGUUCUAUUGUUGCUUUCUUUUCAACUUACAGUUUUCUACUCUUAACUCUUGUAUUUUAUACACAAAAGGGUGUCUCGAGCAACAAUUAUUGACAGUUUAAAGGUUUUCUAACCUUUUGUUUUACCAAUAUUUCAUGUUAUGUUGUUCUACAUGUAUCAAUAUACUUCUCUUUGUUGCAGACCACUCAAGUUCUUCUAGACUGCAGCUUGAGGCUUAGUGGCAUAGUGGGAUUUACAGUUGCCACAGCGAAAUAUUUUCAAACUGAGUCUCUUCGAUUCUUGAAGCUGUGGUUUAGCUUUUAAAGUAAAAGCAUAAUGGGUUCAAGAUUCCCAUCACAUCAGCUCAGCAACGGGCUGUAUGUCUCUGGCCGGCCCGAGCAGCCCAAGGAGAAGCCCACCAUCAUGUCCUCUGCGGCCAUGCCAUACACUGGUGGUGACAUUAAAAAAUCUGGCGAGCUGGGAAAAAUGUUCGAUAUUCCUGUAGAAAACUCAAAAGCACGAAAGUCAGGCCCUGUUACUAAUAAUGCACCAUCCCGUACUGGAUCUUUUGUGGGAGUUGCCUCUCAUUCUGGUCCCAUCAGCUCAAAUAAACAGAAAUCCAAUUCCGGACCACUUGGUAAGCAUGGAGAGCCAAUUAAGAAAUCAUCUGGUCCACAAUCCGGUGGAGUGACCCCCAUGGUGCGCCAGAAUUCCGGUCCAGUUCCUCCUGUUCUUCCGACCACUGGCCUAAUCACUUCUGGGCCGGUUUCUUCUGGACCUCUGAAUUCAUCGGGUGCCCCUAGAAAACUAUCUGGUCCAUUGGAUUCAACUGGGUCAAUCAAGAUGAAUGUUGCUUCUAUUGCGCAUAACCCGGCUGUCACUAAUAUUACCCAGGAAGAUGAGUAUUCUUUCACCAAGAGUGUCCCCAAGAUAAUACUGUGGGCUGUGGGUCUUCUGUUUGUGAUGGGUUUUAUUGCUGGUGGGUUCAUUCUUGGGGCUGUUCAUAAUGCUAUACUUCUUAUCGUUGUUGUGGUCUUCUUUGUUCUUGUUGUUGUGCUUUUUAUUUGGAAUUCUUGCUGGGGAAAGAGCUCCAUGAUAGGGUUCAUUUCGCGCUACUCUGAUGCUGAUCUAAGAACUGCCCAGGAUGGUCAAUAUAUCAAGGUUUCUGGGGUACGUUGCUUAAGAUACUAAUGUGAUCUGUUUUGUUUUUUAAUUAUUAUCUUAUUAAUCGAAGCCAAACCUUUCCUUAAAAAUGUGCAUUUUGUCCUGUUCUGGUUUUCAUCUGAAGUAGUUUUAAUUCUUCUAGUGAACAAAUUGUUGUACAAUUUAAUGCUGGUAUCUCAUUCCUAUAUUCGUCUAGUCAUUUGAUGUGUCAACUCUACAUGCCAAAGCACAGCGUCACAUUCUCUGGUUGUGCACGGUUGAAGAAACUUAGUUGAUUCAUAACAUUAAGUGAUGUUGCAACAACAAGUGUAUCUGAACUUUUUGUUUUAGAAAUUAAAAAGAAAAUAUAGGAACAUUCUCACCUAUGUAUCUGUAUCUAGCUCAACAUUUUUAUUAUUACUUGCAGUAGAAAGGAAGGAAAUAUGUGGGUCACUUGAUAAGAUUUGCUCAAUAUGUCUUUUGUUGAGAUGUUACACUAUGUUGUGCUCCUUUACAUUUACUUUUGGGUUUAAGGCUGUGAAACUGGUCAGUUUGGCUCUUUUAAAAAAGAGUUAAAUUAUUAUGUUAUUCUAGCCAUUCUCUUUGGAAACAAGAAACAAAUAGCUAUUCACAGCAAGAAUUACUGUUGGUAAAGUCCAUGGUUUCUGCGGUUAUGGUGGAUACGUAGUGUAUGCUUCCCUCGCUUUGAAAUUUCAGAGCUGCCGACUGGAUGCUUAAUUCUGUCCCAAGAUAAGUUGCCCAAUUGUUGUUCUAGAAAAGAAUUUUACCCACUUGUUUUUAGAUGUUUGUUACGGACGUUAUGCUUCUAAUUUGAAAUAUUAAUUCACUUAUUUAUAUCUAGUUAUUUGUUACUAAGUUGUUUGAAGAUAGAUGGCUUUUGUUUCUUAUUAAUGAACUUAUCUCUUUGACUACUAAACUAUCCACACUGUUUUACUCAAAACUGAUGAAUGCUCCCUUUUUUUUACCUUUUUCCAUUACUGUGAAUAACCUAAUAAUUCCUGAAGAGUAUGUUUAUGGUCUAUAUUUUGCUUCCUGAUCUGACUCAAUGAGAUGAUGCCUAUCAAAAUCUUUUCUGAGCUGAAGAACCUUGAAUUAAGUGUAGGUUCCUUCUAAUUUGAAUAGUUUCAUUUGCUGGCCUUGUUUGUAAAGCAGAACUUCUUACUUACUAUUUAGUCUUUAAAAAGCAUAAUAAUGCUGCUUAUUAGAGGACAAGUAAUUAAGAUAUUGUUAAUCUCUUACAGGUUGUCACUUGUGGUAAUGUUCCCUUGGAGUCAUCAUUCCAGAAUGUACCAAGAUGCGUGUACACAUCUACCAGCCUGUAUGAAUACAGGGGUUGGGAUUCUAAAACUGCAAAUCCCAACCACCGACGUUUUACAUGGGGACUCAGGUCAUUUGAGGUAAGCCCUGUAUUUUCUCUAUAAUUUAGUCUUUUGUUAGUAAAUAAAUAUUAACUUUUCUAUUGUGACGGACUGAUGGAUAUGCAUAGUAACUAACAAGUUACCUAUUUUGGAAAUAAGCAAUUCUUGUACUAUUUUGCAAGCUGAAGUUAUGAGCUAAUCCUCUUACAAAUAUGCCAAUUUACUCCUAAAUUCUUUCUUGUCGUAACAAUUUAAGUUAUCUAAUUUAUCCAUUUUUCCAAAUAAUCUGCUUCUGAUACCAUCUUAAUAUCUUAAGUGUAUAUCACCGACCUUGAUGCUGUGGAUUGGAUAAAAGCUUAUGAAGAUUAUCAGGUAGGAAAUAAUUAAAUAUACAAAUCAGCAAUCAAUUAUGAUUGUCGAACAGAGAAAUAAUGCAAAAGAUUUUAUGUGGCUUGAGGUGUGAAUUUGGUGAAUCCCUUAAAAUUUAGGGACUUGGGCCAUGUUUGGUAUUGAGGGCUAUCUAACACUGUAGGGCAAAAAUGAGUUGGAGAAAAAGCAUAGAAAGAUAUGCUUGCAUUUUCCGGUGGGACCACAGAAAUUAUGUUGUAACUGAAUCAUUGUGAAGAUCACAACAUGAUAUUUCUUAUGGAAACGAAUGGAAUACUUUCCCAUCACAGUUUUCCACAAUCUCAAAUGAAGCCUAAGUUGAUGAUUAAGUAGUUCAAUGACCAAAUUGGUAACAUUAUAAAGUUAGAGAGAGUACAUAAUAUUUAACUCAAUCUUUUGACAUAGCACAUUAUUGGUACUCAUAAAUUUGUUCCAUAAUUAUGGCAGAGGCACGUAGUUGACUUCUACAUAUCUGAUUUCCAAUCCGGGUUGAGAGCGCUGGUGAAGACUGGCUAUGGUGCAAAGGUAACAUCAUAUGUUGACGAGUCCAUCGUCGUUGACAUCAACCCGAGUAACAAAGACAUGUCUCCUGAAUUCCUGCGAUGGUUGGCACAGAGAAACCUUUCGAGCGACGAUCGUGUAAUGCGCAUCAAAGAAGGGUAUCAAACUGUCUUCUGAAAUUUCACCGGCGCAGUUUUAUCUACUGCAUUUUCUUGAUAGAGAAUUCUAGUUGGGUUAAAUCUAUAGCUGGUUCUUGAACAAUCACUGUAUAAAAGGAAAAUUGGCAAUUAGGACUGUAAAGCGGAAAGUUAUCACCUUUUGUUCUUUUCUUAUAUUAUGUUCAAGGGGCAUAAAAUUGUUUGAGCACGCCACAGAAAUGCUGGAAAAAAACUGAAAAGGAACUAAGUGAAUUACAUUUCUUGAAAUUAUAUAUUCUGAUUCUUGUUUAUCAUUUCACAUAUAAAGUGAUUACAUAUUUAAUCACAUACUCCUUCACCCAUUGCACUCAGAUGAAAAUAGAGGUGAGGAUUGCAUUGUAUAAUUUAGGUGAGGAUCACAUUGUAUAAUUUUUGGGUUCCCGCACUAUCGUAUGUAAGGAUAUUAUUGCAAUUGCAAUAGAGUUCAAGAAUGAGAGUUGCAUGUUAUUAUUUUAGUGCAUCCUGUCACUAAGCUAUAAUAUAUGCUUGCACAUGAAGCCUCGCCACCCGCUCCCCCCACCACCACCAGCUUCGCACCUGAAUCCUCCGUAAAAAAUUAGAGGGUUUUGCAAAUCACCGUUGAUCUAACCAAAGUGUGCAAUCUUCUUUUUCUCUUUCAGGUACAUAAAAGAAGGAAGCACUGUGAGUGUGAUGGGGGUUGUCCGAAGGAACGAGAAUGUCUUGAUGAUCGUUGCUCCUUCUGAGCCAUUCUCGACAGGAUGCCAGUGGGCCAAGUGCUUAUUCCCUGCAAGCUUCGAAGGGAUAGUGUUGAGGUGUGAGGACACUUCGAAGAUCGACGUAAUACCUGUGUAGAGCAGGUUUGCCUUCCUCGGCAUUCGGGUAUUUGCCAUUCCUAGGGUUUGUAUUGUAUGGUUUGUGGUGGCAGAUCCCUAAAUUAAUGUGAGAUAUAUAUACACAUAUAUCUGUAGGGUUUGGAUUUGCAGGUGUUUGGUUCUUUGAAAUGUGUGUAUAGCUUUCCCUUUUUUGGCGUCUAUUUAGAAGUGGAAGUUUUUGUAGCAAAGAUGGGUUUGGCCAAUUCUAUAGAGAACUUUCUUGUUCUUUUUACCGUAUGGCGUAUCGCGCUUCUUGCUUCAGCCUGGCUUAUGGAACUGUUUCUCUAUGCAUGCGUUAUGUGAUCGAAAACGCCGAUUCCAAUUUGGUUGGAUGUUGAUAAAAACUGCCAAUUCCAAUUUGGUUGGAUGUUGACAAAAACUAUUAUUGCUUUGCGGAACUAUUUAGCCUGCGCUUCUCGGUAAGCGCAAGCUCCAACGGAGCCCUUGCAGUUGUCUCUUUUGACUAUUUCUGUUGUUGAUUAGGAAGCUCAAUUUUUUGGAGCCUGUCACUGGUGUAUCAUCAAACCAUAGGAGCACUUGGUAUCUGGAUUGAGAAAACUACUUUGAUUUUGAACUCUGCAGCCAAUGCUGCUUUAUCAGCUAGACCCCUUUGUUUGUUUGUUUGUUUGUUUUUGUUUUUUUUGGAAUUCAUGCAAGGGAGGAUCCUACUGUUCUGAGAAAACAGAAGCUCUACUUUAACUGCACCUAUAUUCCGUCCAUAUUAAUUAUUUAUUGUGUUUGUAACAUCCCAAUAAUUUCACAUGAUAGAAAAAAAAAAGAGGCUAAAUUACAGAAAAUCUUCUGUAAAUACUCGUUUUUUACUUUCCCUCCCUGAUAUUCAAAAACUUGUAUUUUGCUUUUUUUAAAUUUUAGAAAUAUUUUUAUGUGGUAUAGUGUUAAUGGCGAGGGUAAAAUGACCAAAUUGUUCUUCUUGACUAAAUUGUCCUUCUUCUAUUAAAAAAAUAAAUUUUAUUAUAUUUUUGCCAUUUUGAAGGGCAUUUUCGGUAUAAAGUAUAAAAAGAAAAUAAAUGGAAUAGUGAUGGAAUCUUGACCAAGGGGGGGUUAAAUGUAACAACUUGAAAUUUUAAGGAGGUAAAAUAUAGGUUUUUGAAAGUCAGGAGGAAAAAUAAAAAAAAUUAGUAAUUAUUGUUUUAAGGGCUUUUUUUUUGCAAAUGGCCUCCUGAAAAAAUUAUUUUAAAAAUAGUUCUGUCAAAAUUUAAUUUACAAAAAUGGUCCUGGUCCCGCCACGCAGGCGCCACGUGAGCGCCACGCGGGCAGGACUAGGGUCAGUGUGUUAAGUUGAACACGGCGAACCAUUCACCGUGUUCAAACACGGUGAAUGAUUUACCGUGUUUUAUAUUUAUAUUCCUUUUUCUUCUCUUUUAGGGAUGUCAAAUGGGUCGGGUUUGGAUUGGGUUUUUAAAAACUCGAAUUUGAAUCCAAAAAUCAAAUUAAAACCCGAACCCGAAUUCGAACCCGGCGGGUUUUAAAAAUCCAUACCCAUAUAACUUUAAUAUAUGGAUAUGGGUAUGGAUUUUUAAAACCCGCCGGGCUCGGAUUUGUGUUCGGGUUUUAUUUUGAUUUUUGGAUUCGAUUUCGGGUUUUUAAAAACCCGAUCCAAACCCGACCCGUUGACAUCCCUAAAAGAGAAGAAAAAGAAUAUAAAUAUGAAACACGGUAAAUCAUUCACCAUGUUUGAACACGAUGAAUGGUUCACCGUAUUCAACUUAACAUACUGGCCCCAGUCCUGCUCGCGUGGCGCCAACGUUGCGCCUGCGUGGCCGGGACGGCUAUUUUGCAAAUUAAAUUUUAACAGGACUAUUUUUAAAAUAAAAAUUUGUCAGGGGCCUAAAUUGAAAAAAAGCCCUUCUUUUAAAUAUAAGGAUAAGUUUAAGCAUUUUGGUUCAACAAUGUGGGACCAAUAGUUAUUAGUGCUAGUAGGACUGGGUUGUUAUAUUUAAUAUUAGAGCUGAUCUGUUAGUCAGAAGUAUGAGAUUGAUCUCACAAUACUUGAUGGUCUUGGGUUAGAGAAUUGUUAAGGUAUUUUACCUAACGAGGACAUUAAGGAGAAUCUAUAAUGCCUCAAUAAUUUCAUAUUAGAUAGAAAGAAUUAUGAUAAAAAAUGUACAGACAUUAUAUGAAAAAAGAAUUAUAAUUGAAAAUUAUAAAGAAUAAAAAAUUUAAUAUUAAUAAUUGGACUUAAAUAUUUUGUGCUAGUGGUUUGAGUCAAAUAGUUGUUAGUGCUAGUAUGUUAAUUCGAUACCAAGUGCUUGAAGAUUCUUAUAUGCUCAUCUCUCCUGUUAAUCACUAACAAGUCUCAUUAAUAUUGAGGAUUCUAUUGUAUUAUUGUGUAGAUAAAGCUGGAUUUGGCGUUUUAUUUUAUUUUAUUUUAUUUUUUUCUUUUCUCCUUUUUCAAUUUUGUGUGUGGAAAAUUCACUGUAUCACCGAGUUUGUGCGCACUCAUUUUACCUUCAUGUUUUUUUAUCCAAAUAUGUCUUAAACUCUCAAGAAGGGUUAGUGUCCUUGAGCUAUGCAAGUAUGUAACACCCUUCCCUUUUACUUCAAAUCGAUUUUCCCCUAUAUAUCAACCUGAGUAGUAAAUUACUGAAGUCGAUUUGUUAAGUAAUCUGAUUCUGAUUUUCAUAUUUUGAGUCAUAUCAAUUCCGAUCGGACAAUAUGAUGAUCUUACGUACACACACUAUAGAACUGCUUACUACCAUGCCAACAAAAAAUUUUAAAUAGAUAAUUGGUGUAAUUCAGAAGUACUAAAAAAAUAAAUUCCGGUAAAGUAGUUACUAAAAUAACCAAAGUAAACUUAUAUCAAUUUACCACGUUUGGCAUAAAAAAACUGGCGCCACGUUAGUUAAUGUAAAAGUAAUGUGAUAUCUUACUAAUUAGCGCAUCGUCAAUCGCAACACUACCACAUUACCUCUAUAUUAGCGUUAUAUCAAUAUAACAUCUUAGUCGUUGACACAUCGUCAUUCAUAAGACUACCACACACCUCCACAUUAGCAUUACUUGAUUGCAACAAGGACCAAAGUGUCACCAGGCUCAUUGUUUGUCAGAACCAAACUCGCAAUUUACCUGAUUCUUUUUCUUUUCUCCUGAGAAGUUAACUUCAACAGCCUUCUAUUCUCUUAUUUCUUUUGCAGAAGAUACAUGUACAUUCACACACAAGUUUCCCAAAAAAAAAAAAAAAGUAAACUCGCAAUUUGUUGUUUGGUAUGGCACCAAACAGAUUACAGCCACACUUCAACAAAAGAAAGAAAUUGGAAUGAACAUUUUCUGCCUUGGUAUCCAAGGGAAACAAAUAUGGGCACAUCAUUUAUAACUUUGUUAUGUUAAUGAUACAACCAAUAAAAAGAAUAAGAAUCCUGCCUGUUCAAUCUUAUCUUACAUGUUAUGCUUAUUGCCUGCAAUCCCCUUCUCUUAUCCUCACAAUCCCGCUGACGGUCUUCUUCACCGCACAAGCCCUCCGAUACAAGCAACAUAAUAGAUCUUUACAACGAGACCCGAAAUGCUCAAAUUUAAUUUACUAACAGAAGAUGCCAGUCUAUACAUAAUCCUUUGAUUCUCUUCGUAAUAUCUGAUGUGGGGCCUAUUGGGAUGGUACAGCGGGGCAUCUCUGACGCAUGCUCAUUAUUGAAAUGCUCUUAGAGCAACCAGGUUUCUGAUGAUAAGUGGAGCUACCUGCAAGCUGAUUUCGAAGGCAAUAAAUCAAGUCGUCUAAUUAUCAUCUUAUUCUUCGAGGCUUUGGCGCUAUUCUGUGUUGCAUUCUGAUCUUCAUCCAUUUCCAUCAAAAUUGUUCUGGAAAGAAAAUCCUUUUUUCCGAAGUACAGCUUCUGCACACCAAUUUGAACACGUCGUCAGAAAAGCCCGUAGAGGAUCCAUCAGUGCAAGAUUUGCAUUUGAUUAACUUAACAUACAUCCUAAGAAAGAUAAAUGUUUGGUAUGUAUCCUUCUAACUUCAUCUCCUCCACUAAUGCGAUGAGGGUUUGAUAGAUAUCCUCGGUGCACAGGUGCAAGUCAUCACCAGCAUAAAAUUCAUGGACUUUGCCAUCAAUCUCAACCCAACUACAACCGGGAGUCUUGCUCACACCUCUCUCUCUCAUCAACUCUAUCAUCCUUGCAGAAUCAUCCCAUCUAUUCGAGCUCGCAUAUAUCUUAGAAGAAACCAAGUAAUUCCAUGAAUUCGAAGGUUCCACCUGUAAAAUCCUCUCCAUGACCCUCUCUCCGAUUUCCACAUUCUUACAUUUUCGACAAGCGUUAAGCAAAGCCCCUAAAACAACCGCAUCGGCUUUCUCCGGCAUUUUUUCAAUAAAGUCCCACGCUUCUUCCAGAUGCCCAGCGCGGGCCAAAAGGUCAACCAUGCAAGAGUAAUGCUCAGCCUUUGGAGCUAAACCAAACUCGGAAACCAUGGAAUUGAACCACCGACGGCCUUCGUCGACCAAUCCAGCAUGAACACAAGCUGAAAGGACACCGAUAAGGGAGAUAUCAUCUGGGAAAAUCCCUUCUUCAUUUCUCAUCUGCUUGAAAAGUAGAAUGGCCUCACAGCUUCGUCCGUGUAAGGCUAAGGCGGAGAUCAUGGCAUUAUAAGAGACCACGUUCUUUUGGGUCAUGUUGUGAAAGACAUGGAUAGCUCUGUCGAGAUUGCCACAUUUAGCAAACAUGUCGACCAAGGCCGUGCCUACAUAGACAUUGUGGUACAAUCCAUUUUGUAAGGCAUAUUCAUCUAAUUUUAUGCCUAGUUCUAUGGCUCCAACUGCCGCACAUGCCGAGAGUACUCCGACCAAUGUGAUUUUGUCGGGUUUGAUGUUCGCCUCUGCCAUGGAAAGGAACAAUGCAAUCGCUUCGUUGGACAUCCCAUUCUGCGCAUACCUGUAAGAGCCCAAUUAUUCUAUUUAGACUAAGUUUCUUUGCAGUUCAAAAAAUGAAUAACAGCUACACAUAGUUAAAGGACUCACUUAACAUACUUUUUUUUUCUUUUCUUUUUUUUCCUUCCAUUUUUCAUUUUUUUAAUGUAGAUGCUGCUCAUCUCUAACACCAAGAAGCAAAGAAUGUUAGCACCUUAUCUUCUUGAUUGUUAUUAUUUGCUAAACAAAACCUACACAUGUAGAGAUUGAACUGUCAGCAAUCACCGAAUUACGUAAGACCAUCCCUAAGUGUUGUCAAUCGCAUAGAAAAUGACGGAAAACAAAAACUCAAGAACAUUCAAAUUGCCAAAAUAAGGCUAGCGAAGGCAUCUGCAAAUAUAACUCCCAACUUGUCUUUUUUGGUUAAUUUGGCCUAUACAUUCCACUACUAUUCAUAAUUCGCAUUGUUUUUUUAUUAUUUUAAGGUAAAAACAUACAAAACUUAUCUGAACUAUGAACUAUAUUGAGUCGACUACCCAACUUUGCAACAUCUUGAUUUUGAUACCAAACUUUUUCAAUUUGUUUGGUUUCAGCGAGUCAACGGCAUUUUGACAUCAAAGUUCAAACUAAUUGCCUACUUUAAUGAAUUUACAGUUUCGAGAAUUGCAUGAAAUGUUUGGUUUGAGUCAAGCAACAGCAUUAAGUUCAAGUUGAUUGCCUAUCGUAAUGAAUUUACAGUUGUGAGAAUUGCAUAAAAUGUACUAACUAAACCUGUAAAGAUAAACGACACAUUCAAAUUUUGAGAUCAAAGUGUCGUUCACUGAUUCAAAUCAAACAAAUUGAAAGAUCGGAUAGUAAGACCCAAAAGCUCAAUCCAUGCAAAGAUAGAUAGGAUAGGAUAGGAUAGAAUAGGAUGCUUGCCCCGUGAUCAUCGCGUUCCAAGCGACCGUAUCCUUCGCCGGAAUCUCAUCGAACACCCUCCGCACCGCCGCCAGAUCCCCGCACUUCCCGUACAUGUCGAUCAGCGCGGACCCGACGAACGGAUCCGACCCCCGCGCGCCCCUCCCCGCGUACUCCUCCAGCCGCCGCCCCAGGCUCGAGUCCCCCAGGUCGCCGCACGCCGCGAGCACGCCGACCAGCGUCACCCCGUUCGGCUCCCACCCCUCCCCCGCCAUGGCCGCGAACAGCGCCACCGCCUCCGCGGCGCAGCCCGCCUUCGCGUAGCCCGAGAUCAUCGCGUUCGACGAGACGAGGUCCCUGCGGGGGAUUUCGUCGAACACCCUGCGCGCGUCGCCGGGGCGCCCGCAGCGCGCGUACAUCGUGAUCAGCGAGUGCUGCACGUGGUCGUUGGCGGCGGCGCGCGGCGCGGCCUUGACGGCGGCGGCGUGGGCGGCUCGGCCGCAGCGGGGGCGGCGCGCGCGCGCGGCGGCGAGGAGGGCGAAGGGGAAGGUGUAGCGGUCGGGGCGAUGGCCGGCGCGGAUCAUGUCGCGGAGGAAACGGAGGGCGGAGAUGGGGUCGCACCAGGAGACGGUGAGGCCGCGGAUCAUGAGGUUGUAGGCGAAGCCGGUGGGGGAGGGGAUGUGGGAGAAGAGUUGCGACGCGUAGCGGCGGUCGCAUAAUUCGACCAUCUUGGCUAGGAGGUGGUUGGGUCUCCGUACGGACGCCACCACCAUGCGGGCGUGGACCUGCCGCACGGCGCCCGGGGACCUGCAUUUCCGCAGAAGCCCGAGUAUGCGGACGUCUUCCUCGUCGACGAUGGUGGGGUUCCGUACGAUUGGGGAGCGUUGGGGGAGUUGUUGGGUUAGCGUAGUCGGUUUGGGUCUGGCGGCCGCAUAUUUGAGCAUCCUAUAUUUUGGUUUUAUGCGGGACAGCGGGAGUACACGGAUGAGGAGGGAAGGCGAGUCUAGGAGGGAGAGAGAGAGAGUCGUAUAAAUUUGGAAAACUUCAAAAACCACCCUGUAGUUUCGCAGUUCCUCACUGUACUAUCUAUGAUUUAAAGUGUAUCAAUUUAGUACCUGGGCUGUGGUUUCUUUUUUUUUUUUUCUUUUUACCAUCAAUUCCAUUAUUUUUUUUUCAUUAAAUCAAUGACAAAGUUAAAGUUAAAGUUAAAUGGUACUAAAAUAAAUAUUCGAUAAAUCUAGGUGGGAUAUCUGAAGUUUUUUGUAUAUAAUAAUUUAACGAAAUAUUAACGGAGGACUGACAAAAAAAGAAAAAUGAAACCAUGGUACUAACCAUAGUUAGUUAAUUCGGAUUCGGCAAAAAUUCGGUACGGAUAUAAUUCGGAUAAAAUUCGUCUUCUAAUUUUUAAAUUCGUUGAAAAAAACGGCUAAAAAACGGAUUCGCCAAUUAUUCGGAUACGUGAUUUAUACGGAUAUUAUACGUUCACCCAUUAAAAAUUCGGGAUCAAAAAUUCGGCUAUUAAAUUAAAUUUUUUUCCUCUCAAGAUUUAUGCUAUUAGCAUAAAUACUCAUAUUUUUUAAAAAUAUAAAAAUAAAAACCUAAAANACCCUCUAUACCCGCUGAAUUAACGAUAUACAGGCCUCUAAACCUCCCAAACUAACGAAAAACACCCCUCUAUUCUCAAAGUAUAAUUUUAACAUAAAUAAAUACAAAUAAUUUAGAAUCUAAAAUGAGUUAUUUUAUAUCCAUAUAUUUUUAAACUUGUACUGACACUUUAAAAUCAACGUAACCAUAAUUAAGAUUAAGUAACGUAUACACGUAUGAUCAUAUAUAAUAAUAGGUUUAUUAUAGAUUUAUGUUUAGGCUAGGUAUAGGCUUAGGUUUAGGCUUAAACUUCUUUAUAGACUAACACAGGCUUAGAUAAAAAUCGUCUAUGCCAUUACUUUUAAAUCGUAGGCUGCGUUUAGGCAUACCUGGCAUAGGUUUAAACAUAAGCUUUUUUUAUACCUACGUCUACACCAAAGCAGGUUAUAGGGAAACAUAGGUUAGGUUAAAGUGCGGGUCAAUUUUUCGGUCAAAGCCUCGUUUUAAAAACAUUGAUUUAACCGAAGUGGGGAUACUUGACUUUUACAGUAGUGUUGAUAUUGUAGUUAUGAUACUUAAAAUCUCCUAGCUAUAAAAGUCCCUUUUAAAUGAAUUAUGGGGAGGUUUAUGUAUAUAAAAAGUGAUCGUGCGUGGGAGUAUUUAUAACUUUAUAGUUUUUGUAGGAAGUUUUAAAUUCUAUGAAAUUUUUUACUGGUAAUUUAUUCCAAAGUAGAUUAAAUUUUAUUUGUCUUCCGUAACAGGAGAAAAUAGGAAGCAGUACAGUGACCUUCAAGUUACGGGGUUGUCAGUCGAUCAAAAUAAACCAUAAAAUUAAUAUCAUGACCUAAUUCUUUAUGAAAAAAUAAAUGAAAGAAAUUUAUUUUAUAAAGAGAUUACUGUUUUAUAUUAAUUUUAUUUAUGUAUAACAGACUUACUCUUUAAAUUUAAACAAACUUUAAGUUUUAAAACUGUAAGUUUUAAAUGUUAAAGUUUUAAUGUGUAUUUACUGAAAAGUUAAAAUAAAAUAAAAUUAACCGUAAAGGAGAAGAAAGAAAAAAAAAAAAAAAAAAAAAAUGAAACGUAAAGGAGUUGAAAAAGAAAAAAUGAGUUCAAUAAAAUCGGUUAAUUGGAUGGUUCAUGCAUUUAAACCUUUUCAAAAAAAAAACAGUUUAAAUCACUUAAUCUGAUAAGAAAUCUACUUCCAUCACAUCUAAGUUAAUUAUUACCCUUUAAUUAAGAUUAUUUUUAUAAAUUAAUUUUAAUCUACUUUAUCAAAUUUUAUUUUACUCAUUUUUACUUACCCAGAGUUAAUUUUAUCUUUAACAAACCCCACGAUAAGGUCUUAUCGGAUAUCAACUUCCGCAAAAUCAUGUUUUAAUGAGAGAUUUGGGGAGGUGUGGAAGCUUUCCAAGCCUCGUACGAACCAUCAAACAAAAAAUGGAUAUAAUAUACGGAAAUAUAAGAAUACAAUUGACUACCUCAGAUUAACAUACCACAUGAAGUUUCUUUCAUAUGUCAAUCUCCUCAACGAUAAUAACUAAAAUAUCUCAAAAAAUACUAUAAAGAUUUGUAAAAUUCCCAUCGCCAACUUUAAUUAGGAAUAAAUAUAGAAAUUAUUAACUAGAUCAUACAAUCUAAGACAUCGGAGAAAGAGACAAAUGGGACCGAAUAAACACAACCUCGUUAAAUAAACAUCAUUUUACGUCGCUACCAGAGACAUGAUACGACUAUAGCGUAAAACCAGGAACACGCAAGUGAGCAUGUGAAAUCGGGGAAUUGAAAAUGUUUACAAAGUGGAACCAGGGGCUGGUAAUUUUCUAGAGAAUUAAAACGAAACUUUACUGGUAAAAUCAGGAGAAUACUAGUAGUCAUGUUUGUAUAGAUCUGCGUGUAUUUCCGCCGGAUCUGUGUGUAGAUCACCUACGGUUCUCAGACCAAGAGGAGAGUAUGCCACGUUAGGUUGAGAUACAAGUAGAGAAAAGACGUAAUGGUUGUAAUUAAUGAGGUAAAGAAGUUACGAACUACUACCUUCUUGGUAUGACGACUCUAGAAACUAUCUAUACCGGGGUAUUGAGAGGGAAGAGAAGUUAAAAAAGGUCUCAAGUACAGUUGAAAAGAUGGUAGUAAGGCACGUAAGGUAACGUGCCAUACCGUAACUAUACCGUCUGGUAUCUCUAUUUUGAGGAAUAAGGAAGGAACUGGGAGAGGGAGAAAAGAAGAAAGGAGGUAAUGUCGGAGUAACUGUAAAAGGUAUAAACGAGAGAAAGAGUUUGAGAGAAAGAUAGUUAUAUAGAUGACAUUGCUGGGUCGGGUGAUCGUUAUUAUUGAGCAACCCGGGUCGGUUGUCGGGUUUUACGAAUUCGGGUCAAUAAUAAUGAUCACAGAUUCAGAGAAUAUUUAGGUAACUGUUGGGGAAAAGGUAGACUACACCCUGAUAACCCCACAGUGUCUGAGGGGGGUAAUUCCGGGACUGCAGGAGCAGUCAGGUUAGUGUGUGUAUCGGGUUCUAGUGGUCCGCUACACUCUGAGCAGAGCGAUCGGGCAGUAGGUCUGGGACCGAGUCAGCUCUGAGCGGUGUGUACAGGUCGACCACUUGGCCGAGACUAUGGUUUACAUUGCUGGGUCGGUUGAUCGUUGUUAUUGAGCAACCCGGGUCGGUUGUCGGAUUUUACGAAUCCGGGUCAAUAAUAAUGAUCACAGAUUCAGAGAAUAUUUGGGUUACUGUUUAGGAAAGGGUAGGCAACAGCCUGAUAACCCAACAGUGUAGAUGUGAAAGGCACAGAGACAGUUAGAUAGAUAGAAAAACGUCCCGCCCCAUCCUUAGAUAGGAGAACGACAGAAACUAUACAUGACACACUUCUUAAAGGUAGGUUAAGAAAUAAUCGAGAUGAUAAGAAACAGAGUUUGAUAACGACUUAGUUUCUCUACCCUAUGAGUUGGUGUACAAAGUAGUACACCCACUCCUGGUACGAUACAAAAGACACAAACGUCGAAUCAAGUAAUAACCCAACGGGAGAUUAAUCCGAACGUCCGUAAAGAAAGAAGGUUCUUUUACAUACGAAAUUAACUAAUUUCAAAUCGACGAAGUUGGCAAGUGAAGUAAGUGGAGGAAGAAGAUAAUCACAGAAAACACCAAAAGGAAGGAUUACAAGAUCGUGCUUUCGAAGGAUUUAUUAAGAACUUCCGUAUACCCGCAAUCCCUGAAAUUAUUACAUUGUUUGAGAUAGAGGACUUACUCAUUAAGAAGAUAGUUACUAAACGUGACCCUCAAUGUGGAACCAAAUACCACAUUUUUCUUAGAAGUUUCUUCAAUAAAAUAUAGGUUAGUUUUCUCCUAUCAAACCAGUGUCAUAAAGAAAAGAUCUUACUCGUCCGUUUCAGACAUCCUUAUCUGCUUAUCAAAGGAGAGUUUAAUAAGUAAAGAACGGACGUUAACAUUCGUAUGUAUAUAAAAAAGGACGCUAUAAUUAAUCACGGAAUGCCUGGUGUUACGGAGAGAGAGAGAGAGAGAGAGAAGACUCUCCUAGACGAAUUGACCUUUCGGUCAUUGACCUUAUUGUGUUACCGUUACGCGUUCCUUCUACUUACCUGGUGAAUACUAUAACACCAUGUGUCUACACACUCUUGUGUGAAGUACUUCCGUUAUUAAAGAUGCUGAUGAAACCUUAUCAUUUAUCAUAACUUUACUCUUAAAAUUACAAAUCUAUAGCUGCGUGUUUGAGAAUUUCGAGUACAUAGUCAAACGUUUCGAUUUGAAGUCUAUUAGGUUUAUGAACAAAUUCAUCUUUCUAUACCGUCGUACCUUCGACUAAUAAACCCCCGGUUUAUUGUCAACAAUCCAAAACUGUCGUUAUUGUCCUCAUUAAUACAGUAAUUGGAAAUUAAACAUUCUAGAAACAAUUAAUAGGUAAAUCAAUCGUUCUUUCGGACAUGUUUAAUCGUUAGGGAUUUUCACAAGUUAUUGGACGAAGAAAAGUAUAGAGUUCUCAAAUCAAAUAUUCGGAAUAACUUGUUCCCGAACUACACGGCAAAAUUCACUUUUAAUUGAAAAGAAUAAGGUACAAUACUAGUAAGAGUUAUAUUAACUUAACAAAAGUUAAAAGACUAUUAAAAGAGUAUAACAAAUGAAAUGUUGUCGUAAUGUGUCUAAAAUGUUCAGAUAUCGUUACUUAUUUUCACUGACGUCUUCGACUUUCCUCGACGAGGACGUACCGUAAAGUGAAAAGUGGAGACGAAGGUACUUACUUAUCCCUUAGAAGACGAUGCGACUAACCUACUUGAGCUUUGGAUCGAGACGAUAGCUAGGGUCCAUGUUAGCGAUUUAUUAUAACGACAAUAAAACGGGAAGGGAAGGAGUUUAUGGGAUUGAUGAGAAUCUUUAUCCAAAACCUGAUAGUAACCUUCGUUCUUGGGAAUGUUUAACGAAGUAAUACAAGGACUACAACUGAUGAACUUUCGUUUUUGGAAAUCGUAACCCACAUGUUAUCUUGUCUCUAGGGUUGUCGUCCAAAGAUAUUGGGGUACAAGAGGAUAGUAGAGGGUAUUAGAUAUAGAAUAAGUAUACACUAAAAAACGUCAGAGUUAACCCAAAUAUAUGUACUAAAAAUAUCCGAGUCGGGUCAAAUAGGAAAUAAUUAAAAAUCCCAUUUGAAGUUUAUGGGGGGAACACCAAAGUAUGAAAGAGUGAAAUUAUGGGACACCAAAUUUCACAUAUUUCAAUCGGAUACACCAAAGCGUAAAAGAGUGAAAUCAUGGGACACCAAAUUUCGCAUAGAACAAUCAUGGGACACCAAAGUAAAAAGAGAAAAAUAAUAGGUAAAGUAAUUAAAAAAAACAAUUUAGUCACUGUUUCAAUUUUAAUUUCUCAUGAUUUCACUUAUAAGCUAUUUGGAUCCAUCCCAAAGAUUUCUAAAAACAUAUAUUAAAUUGCUUUAUAAUUGUCUCUUUUUUUAGUCACUGUUUCAAUUUUGAUUUCCCAUGAUUUCAUUUAUAAACUAUUUGGAUCCAUUCCUUAAACUUCAAAAAACAUAUAUUAAAUUACUUUAUAAUUGUCUCCUCGGCUGCUUUUCUCUUUUUACUUUGGUGUCCCAUAAUUUAACUACGUGAAACUUGGUGCCCAUGAUUUCACUCUUUCACGCUUUGGUGUCCCAUGAUUUAACUAUGUGAAAUUUGGUGUCUCAUGAUUUAACUCUUUCACGCUUUGGCGUCCCCACCAUAAACUUCAAAAGGGAUUAAAAAUAAUCGAGUGUAGAACGGAUUUUGUAUUAAAACGAUGUUUCACUCCUGGAUACGAAAUAGGACGCCAAUAAUUAUGUAAAUUUUGAAGGUAAAGACCACAAAAAAAGGUAAACGAGCGGACAACACUUUAUAUGACAUAUUUAAUAUUGUACCCACCUUCGGCACGAUUUAAGAGAAUACAAGUCCUAUGGUCUUUGUGACUUUAAAGGAGAAAACUUUUUCGUUUUUACAACAAGGGAAAAAACAAUUAACGUACUUGUGUGUACGGGGUAAAAGAACCACACCACAUAGAAACCUACAAGAGGAAAAUAUAUAAAUGGGUAAUGGACGACUUGUAAUUGUCCUAGACUGAUCCCUUUAAAACUAGUUUUAACGUUGAUGUACGACGAAGACACAGGAGUUAGAAAAUUGUAUAACACUUCAUUCCACGGUGAUGCCGUAUGGAGAAUACAGCUAAAUCUCGUUCCAAAUUUCACGGCACCGUGCCCCCGCACGGCGAUGCAGGAACCGUGCCAUGCCGUGCCCGUGCGAACGCACGGCUGUGCACCGUGCGAACGCACGGCUGUCUAUGCGUGCUGGAGGAUGACCGUGUGAAACCGUGCUUAAAUAAAUUCAAAAAAACCAAGGUCAUUCGAAAAUAUUACAAUAAAACUUUCUAAAUCCGUUCAAUAAUAAUUAAAAACGAUACAUAUCAAAUAAUAUGAGUAGUUAAUUGUACGUACAUUCGUAAAACAUAUAUUUCAUGUUGAUAUGGACUACAUCUUAUAUUUAAUUUUAAGAAAAAAAAAAGCAAUUAAUCUUUCUUAUCACCCAACACCUUUUAGCAAUCAAACAAUUAGAACAGAAAAAAUCAUAAAUAAAGAAAGAAAUCUACAAACAAGUAAAACAUUCUUAAACUAAUUAAAAGAAAAGGCCAUAAAAUCUAUACUAUUAACAUCAAGACACACCAAUCUUUUAUAAAGAUGAAGAACUAUAGAUCCAUUAUUCUGAAUAUGAUUUAUGACAAUAUAACCACAGAAAAUACAUAAAUCCUAUCAAUCAAACUAAAGUCAUAAUAAACCAGUUGUAGUAUUUUUCUGCCUAAACUCUGAUUGUAACUGCAUCAAAGCUCAUAGGUUUUUUUCUUUCUUUUUUUUUCUGUACACAUCAAGAAACUUGCAAGCAUAAUAUUGAAAGAAUAGCUUAAGAUUUACAACUUGUUAGUUAUUACCAUAGUUAGUUAACUCGGAUUCGACAAAAAUUCGGCACAGAUAUAAUACGAAUAAAAUUCGUAUCCUAAUUUCAAAAUUCGUUGAAAAAUACGGCUCAAAAACGGAUUCGCCAAUUAUUCGGAUACGUGAUUUAUACGGAUAUUAUACGUUCACCAAUUAAAAAGUCGGGAUCAAAAAUUCGGCUAUUAAAUUAAGUUUUUUUCCCUCUAGAUUUAUGCUAUUAGCAUAAAUACUCAUAAUUCUUAAGAAUAUAAAAAUUAAGAGAUAUAACAUUAAGCAGAUUAAGUAAAAAAAAUAAAAGCAAACUAUGUUAUGCCCCACAACAUGUAAAUAAUCAAGCAAGUGAGAGAUUAAGAUAGUCCAUAUUUAAAUAUAAAACAUACAGGGUUCACAUACAAGCAUAGUUGGAAAUUAAACACAAGAGAAGCUUGCACUCUGCAUAGCGCAUACUAACAUAUCUAAAGUCUAAACAGUAGACAAAUUAAUGGAUGUAAGCAUGUAACAACAACUUAAUUAGGAGUAAUAUGAAAAUCUGGAGUUUAGAGGAAGGGAAGGAUGUUUUGGGUGAAAGAAAAACACAACAGCAACAAUAUCAACCAUAUAUAUAAGAGAAAACUGCUAUAAAUAGAAAUCAAAAUUAACUAGACAGAAAAAAAAAAAAAAAAAAAAACAAUAUUGCUAGGAUUCUAAAAAUUUGGCACUUAACAUACAGAUAAUAGCGAAUAUUAACUCCACUCAUAGUCAUGGAAAAUAUGAAUGUGUAGUUUUGUACCAGAUGAAGUGGGCGUGAGGCAGCGGAACAGCGGAACUCGGAAGCAGAUUGCGAGUGGUGCGCGGCCACGCGGGGGUUCUGAUAGAUAUGGGGAGCGGCGCGCGGCCGUGGUGGUUCCGAACUUCCGAUGCUCGGCCUCGCGGGGCUUCCGAUGGCGAUUGGUGACGGCCGGAAGGGAAAGGGGGCAGGGGCAGGGCUGAGGGCGGAGGCAGGGCCGACCGGGCGACAAGCUAGGGCAAAAUGUUUAGUUUUCACUUUUGAGCAUAGUUAGUUAAUUCGGAUUCGGCAAAAAUUCGGUACGGGUAUAAUUCGGAUAAAAUUCGUCUUCUAAUUUUUAAAUUCGUUGAAAAAAACGGCUAAAAAACGGAUUCGCCAAUUAUUCGGAUACGUGAUUUAUACGGAUAUUAUACGUUCACCCAUUAAAAAUUCGGGAUCAAAAAUUCGGCUAUUAAAUUAAAUUUUUUUCCUCUCAAGAUUUAUGCUAUUAGCAUAAAUACUCAUAUUUUUUAAGAAUAUAAAAAUAAAAACCUAAAAAAUUAAACUAAUUAAGUAAAAAAAAAUAGUAAACUAUAUUAUGCCUCAAAAUAAAGAAAUAAUUAAGCAAAUAAGUGAUCAAAAUAGUCCAUAUUUAAAUGUAAAAGCUUCCAACUUUUGCUUUGAAGAAUGAAAACUCAAAUAGUACCUGGUCCCAAAGUUAUGUCUCAAAAAUUAAGUAGAAACCCCAGUGAGUCAAUGGUCCAUGAAAGACCACAACAAAAUUUUCCUUUUGCAAGUGUCGACAAAGAUCAUGAAAUUGAUUAGGGGGGGGGGGGGGGGGAGGGUGCUCCGCUGCUGAGGGUGCGAGGUUGGGGGUGGGGGAGGGUGUUUUUCCCAAACGGGAUUGAAGAGUGAGGACGCCGCCACGCCGGGACGGUAGCUGGGGACGCCGCCAGAGGGAGAAUGGAAGGCCGGCGAGCGGCUUGCGGUAGCCUUCGGGAGGAGAAGUCUUUAGCUUCUAGCUUCUAGCCCAAGAAGUGAGAAGUCUUUAGCUUUGGGAGGAGCAGCGGAGAAGGCGAAGGCGAAGGCGAAGGCGAAGGAGAGGGCGAAGGCGAUAGGUUGCUAUCUAGUCAUUGGCCCACCAAGAAAUGUUUGGGUCCAUCCAUGCUAAACUCAAAAAAAGUAAGAAGUUUCUUUUUCAACCUUCGAAAAUCAGUAGACUACCUAUGAACAAAAUAUGUGUUCACCGACUCACGAAUUAACUUACACAGGUAAGAGACAAUACGUGUUUCUUCUGGGUUUGUAUCACGAUUUAUUUAUUAGAAUUAAUUGAAACCCUGGUCCUUGAGAACAUAAUAUGGNNNNNNNNNNNNNNNNNNNNUUUUUUUUUUUUUUUUGGGCGACAGGUUCUUUUUCCUGUUUUGGGCCACCGCGAGGCCCACAAGUCCGCUCACAGUAGCAAGCAAGAGGGCCGUUUUUUUAUUGGCGAAUAAUUAUUUUUGCUCAAAAAAUUGCGAAUUAUUCCGAAUUUUUGGCAAAAAUUCGAAAACGGGUGUUUAAUUCGGCAUUUCAAAAAUUCGCGAAUAAUUCGCGAAUAAUUCGCGAAUUAACUAACUAUGGUACUAACUUGAUACACUUUAAAUCACAUGAUACUAAAUUAAAAAAGCGUGAAACUAUAGGGGUGGUAUUUAAAGUUUACUCUAUAAAGUUUCAAUGCCUAAGUUGGCACGAGUAAUAUGAAAUCCAGAUCAAUUUGGUGUCAGAACUAAUUCAAUCUUAUUAAGGGCAAGGUGAAUCUCACAUCUCAUUUUAGUCCAUCUCACACUUCAAAUCUAUGAUCUUGGACUACAUGUGUGAUUAAACUGACGUAUCGUUACGGCCUAUAAAAGAAGUGUCACAAUAUGUGAAGCUGUAGUAGUUCCACAUGAGAUAAUUUACGAGUUUGUAGCAACAUGUGGAUAAUUUUGGGAUUUGAUUUAGAGUAGGAUUUACACGAGUUGAGCUAGAAUACUCUCAAAAGCACCAAGAGGUUGGUGAUUUUAAGUUUUUAAUCUUUGGAUGAAGAAAUGUAAGGUUGGGAUGAUGGUGGUAGGUAGGUAAUAGGUAGAAUAGUAUUUGAUCCAAGAGCUAUUAGUAAUCAAGAAGUAGAUCCAAGGGCUAGAAACUUGGAAGUAAAAGAGGGGUGAUUCUUCUAAAAGUAUUCUAGCUCAAUUAGGAUUUACACUUUAAUUAUAAAUAGAGUCAAAGGCCUAUUGUAGAUUGAGUUUGUAGCAACAUGUGGAUGUAUUAUUAAUUUAUUAUUUGCAGGAAAGCUAUUGAGCAUCUAAAAGGGGCCAUGUUCGGGGAUAAGGGAUUAUCCGGGUGGGAUAACACCUUAUCCCUCCCUUAUAUCAAAAGGUUAUUUUUCGUACCUAAAAAAAGUAAUUCUUGGAUACCUGAAAUAAGCUGGUAUAAGCUGGUAUAAUUUAAUAUAAAUCUGGAAUUACUGUUCCACCCUUAUUCUUAGAAGAAUUGAGAAUAAUAUUAAUUAGAUACUAAUUAAUAAUUUUAAAUUAUUGAUUAAUCUAAUUAAUAUAUUUAAAUUAUUAAUUAAUCUAAUUAAUAUUAAAUUAUAAUCUCUGUAUAAGCCUGCUAAGGAUGAGAACAGUCGUUGAGAACAACUGUUCUGACCCUUAUUUUUAUUUUUAAAUUUUAAAAUUUUAAAAUUUAAAAUUUAAAAUUUUAUAAUUUAUAAUUUGUAAUCUCAAAAUUAAAUUUUAUAAUUUUAAUUUUUAAUUUUUAAUUUCUUUAAAUUUUAAAUUUGAUAUUUUAUAUUUUUCAAAUUUAAAUUUGAUCUUAAAUUUAAAGUUUGAGAUCUAAAAUUAUAAAUUUUAAAAUUUUUAAGUUUUAAAUUUUAAAUUUUAGAUUUGAAAUUUAAAAUUUAAAAUUUAAAAUUUUUUAAAUUUCAAAAUAUAAAUUUAAAAUUUAAAAUUGAAAUAUANUAUUCCCAAAAUCAACCUAUUUUUCAUCCAAAUACAAAAUUUAUCUAGUUCUCGCUUGUACCAGAAUUUAUAUCUAUCAUUGAAAUAAAAAGUUUUUACUUAUAUCGAAAUCAAAUUUCAAAAUAUAAAUUUAAAAUUUAAAAUUGAAAUAUAAUAACAUAAGUAAUAUUAUUAUUUUUUAUUUAUAACUACCUACAAUCCUUCUUAUUCCAUCUUAUCUAUACAAACACUAUUUUUCUUAUUCUCCAAAAACAACACAAUUUUCAUCUAAAUAUAAAAUUGGUCUAAUUUUUUACUUAUAUCUAAUCUUAUAACUAUCCCUAAAACAGUCCGUUCUUAUUUAUAUCCGAACCAAAUGAUACCCUAAUGUUUUUAUUAUUUUAAUUUUUAAAACUUUUUUUUAGUAUCCUAGUGGUUUUGAAACUGACACAUCAUAACGCAACCAAUUGCAGUUUCUGUUCAAAAUUUGCAGAUAAAUAACAUUUCAGAGCAGUCUGUCCAGAUAAACGCCCCCCUCAAUCUUGUUAAUAAAAAGCAUAUUACAUAAUUAAGCAAUUCAGCAUUUCUAUUACCAUUAGUCAGAUUAUUUACACAUUUUUACGAACUCGCAUACUUCAUCUUUGCAUAUCAUUUAUUGCUCAACUAUUUUCCGCUCAUGUAAUGCAGCUAAAAAUGUGUGGAUUGAUAAGUCGAAGAAUUAUUAAAAAAUAUUAAAAUAUUAUAUAUAUCCAUUUACUUAUUUAUAGAUAGUAAGUUUAAAUAAUUAAUAAAAUUAUACAAUUAUUUUAUGCAUAGCGAAAGUAAUCCCACAAAUACAACUAUCACCUUCACAUAACCAAACAAAAAAAAAUGCAACUACAAUAAUUGCAUUUACACAAAACCAAACAAACUAUAUGCAAUACAACUGCUGUAUUUUUAACUGCAUACAUUUUUAACUAUAUUAUUAUAUUUACAACUACAUCCAACCAAACGGCCCCUAAGAGUAGAUACUGAAGCAUGACAUGGGCACUAAAAUUAUUGUUUCAUGUUUCUCUGAUUCGAUAUUUAUGUCCACAAGUAGUUCAUUGAUGAUGGGGGACUUUUUUCGAAAAUAACCCUGUGAAAUUUCGUAAUUGCCAAAAUAAUCCUGUGAAACUUUUAUUUGUAAAACUAACCCUCCUCUCGCCACCUCAGCCGCCACUCAGCGUUUCUCACAAAGACGGUGAUUCGUUCACCGUUUUUGGGGACGCAUCUUGAAGGCGGUGAAUAGUUCAUUGUCUUCUCUAGGCGGGGACCAUUCACCGCUUUCUCAGCAAUUUCCCGCGUAUCACCGCCUUCUCAGCAAUUCCCCGCGUAGCUUAAGGUGCCUCGAGAAGACGGUGACUCGUUUACGGCCUUAACAAAGGCGGUGAAUCGUUUACCGCCUUAUCUAGGCGUAAAACAUUCACCGCCUUCUCAGCAAAUCCCCCGCCCAACAGCCCGGAUUUGUGGCAUAAAUAAGACGAUGAAUCGUUCACCGUCUUAUCUAAAGACGGUGGUGAGUGGUUCACCGUCUUUAGUGCAAACACCACCCAAUCCACGACUUAGUCAUUUUUUUCCCCGGAUUCGUGGAUUUGCACUAAAGACGGUGAACCAUUCAUCGCCUUUAGUGCAAACAGCACCAGGUGCUGAUUUAAGCUUGAUUUUUUAAAAAAUUUCAAUACGUUUAACGCAAGUUUUUCACGAUAACAAAUAUUCCAACAAGAAACACAACAGAUCGAGUGGAAUAACAAGAUACAAUCAACAGAAUAAAAAUAUCAAAAAAAAUUCCGAGAAAUAUACAAAUAUGCACUAAAUUAAGUAUUAUAUAAUAUUAUACAAAGUCUAAGUUAUCUAAAUCAAAGAUAUACAAUCAGCCUCUCGAUCAUCCUCUCCCUCGACGUCCCCGGCCACGUCCUCGUGCACGGCCACGUCUACGUCUACGGCCACCCUCUACAACGAGAUCAGCAAUAGGUACGUCAUCAAUUGCCUCGAUAUCNUUUGUAAAUUUUGGAAAUAUAAUAAAGUUCAUCAAGUGGGUAUAAAAUGAAUGGUCAAAAUCGAACGACGUAUUAAAAAUGGAUGAUCGGAUCCUUCAAUUUAAGAUCGGAGUUAUUGAUCUUUAUCUAUGUAGUGAAUAGAAUUUUCUAUCAAAAAUUCAAUAGAUUUCGAUUUUUUUACACCGUUAAACUAGCAAAUAUUCCAUACCAGUCGUUAAUAAUUAUCAAUUUUGUUACAUUUUGAUCAUAAGGUAAAUAAUGUCAAAAGAUUAUAAAUUUUGAUUUCUAGACGUUUUAAAUGUUCUAAAUAAUGUUUAACGAUGUAGAUUAUCGAUUCGAAAGCUCUAUCAUCGAAAACAACUUAUGAGUACGAGGGCGAUCGUACUCAUAAGAGUAUAGUAGCCGGACUAUAUAACUAUAUAUAUAUAUAUAUAUAUAUAUAUAUAUAUUCCGGCUAUGGUGCUUGUAGAAGUACCAAACACUUAGUGCUUGUAUAUUUUUUACCGCUAAAUCUACGCUUUAAUCAUUUUCAACAGUUAGAUUAUACUAUUCAACCAACCACCAACUUAACCCUAGGGGGCCCGCAUCAUCCUAACCGCACAUCAUUUAAUUCAAUAGUCAAAAAUUUACGAGCACCAAUAACUUAGUACUUUUAAAAGUAUAGAAGCUCAAUUAUAUAUAUAUAUAUAUAGAGAGAGAGAGAGAGAGAGAGAGUGUGAGUGCUACCGAGUUUUUUGCCGUUAGAUUUAAUCCUUUAACUAUUUUCAUCCUUUAUAUUAUAAUAUUCAACCAAUAACUCACUCAAUUUUGCUCUUUUAUUUUGACAUUCCCUAAAUUUUAAUUAUAUUAAAAAAAACAUUUUUAAUCGAGUUAUUCUAAUAAGAGAUUUUGUUAUAAUAACGACUACUUUUGCUAUCGAAUGUUAAUCGUUAUGAAAAUAACAUUUCCAUCUGCUAAAUGUGAUUAGGACGUCCCUAAUAUAUCUAAUUUGACUUAUUAAAUCAAGCUAAUUAGCUGCUAGAAGGGUGUCUACAUAGUAGUAGGGAGCAGAUGUUCACAUUUUUUUACUCUUUGAAAAAUCAUCAAUACUUCAUAAAUUUUGUUGCAAUUUUGAUUAAAAAAAAAAAAUUAUUGAGGACAAUGUAUAACAUAUGAAUUAAUAAACUAUUUGAAAAAAAAUUUAUAUUAAUUAUUUAUUAUUAAAUUAUUUAUUCAUAAAUUAUUUCCUGUUCUUCUCUUUUAAAAUUAUUGAAAGUACAGAAUGAUUUUAUAAAUUUUUUUAUAUAUAACUUUGUUGUGCUAUAUUUUAUCAAACAAGAACUCUCGUAUUUCCUUCGAAUUUUUUAUAUUUUUUGUUGAACUUCAGAGUUUUUUUUUUUUUUUUUUAAAAAGAAACAAAGACAUUUUGUACCACAACGCUGUUAAAACUUCGUCCAUAUGAUUGAUAUGUAUGGAGGGGUGAGAUUAGUUUAAAGACAAAGCCACCCUUUGAUGUUCGAGGCACUAAAGCAGGUUUUUGAGUGAGAAACGAGGUUUUAUCAGGCAGCAAGCUAUACUAGCUAGACCGGAAUAUGCGGCCGUGGGGUGCGGAUUUACAAGGAGCUGCGGUCCCUACAUGCUCGUUCUUCGUCCCUUGGAUCAGGCCCGGUUGGGGCUUCUACAACUCCCUGGGACGGUUUCUGAACCCCACCUCAGAGUCCAGGGCUUGGACCACACGAAUUAUCGAAGGCGAUGAUGAAUCUGGCGUGCCGCGUCGCCGCACGUGUUUCGGGCUAACCAGGCGUGAUCGUGUCAGCCGGAGCUCGGCUACACGUUUCAAUCCGACCGGUCGAAUCGCUGAAGGAGAGUUUGUGUAAGAAUUUGUCAAGGAUGGAGGGUAGUCUUAAAGGAGAAAGGUGUUGGGAAUGCGCAGAUAGACAGUUAAGUUUAAGUUCAUGCUUACAAAGAUGGCUUCCGUUUGAGACGCUCUUCUGUGCAUUCUGAGGGGGAUGCGGGCGUGAACGGGAAGCACAACAAGUAAUUGUAGGAUACCCUAUAAACAUAAGUUUUAUAUAUAUUAUAUAUAAAUACUAUAUAUAGAGAGAGACGAGACGAGAGAGAGAAGGAGAGCAAGCGAGAGAAAGAGAGUUUGGUUACAAUGGUAUCGAUAGCAGCAAACUUGAUAUUAUCAAAUUUUCUACGUUAAAUACAACCACUUUUGCUAUUUUCUCGUUAGAUUGACAUUAAUCAGCAACAACCACUCAACCUAGGGACACUAUCAUUUUAAUUGUAAUCGCUUCAUCACAGGGCCGAAAAUUUGAUAGCUCUGGUUGGUGUAUUAUAGUAUUUCUAGCAUACUUAUAUAUAUAUAUUAUAUAUAUUAUUAUAUAUAUAUAUAUUAUAUAUAUAUUAUAUAUAUAUGAUAUUAAGCAGGACGCAGUACGACUGGAAUCACUAGUCGAUUAGCACAAGGGGUUUGUCUACUCAGUUUUCCGCCAUGUAGCAUUAAUCCUUUAAUAUUUUUCACCCUUAGAUUAUAUUAUUUAACCAUUAAGUUACUCACUCUGGGGCCAACAUCUGUCCUGACCGUAUGCAUUUUUCAAUGGUCCGAAAUUAUGCAUAAUACUUCGGUGCCUAUUGAUUGUAUUUCCAGCCUAGAUACUUACGUACUUAAUACGUAUAUAUAUAUAUAUAUAUAUGAAUUGAGCUCUUAUGCUUUUAAAAGUACUAAGUCAUUGGUAUUUGUAGGUUUUGAUCCUUGGAUUAAGAAAUGUGCGGUUAGGAUGAUAGUGAUCCCCUAGGGUUGAGUGGGUGGUUGGUUGAAUAGUAUGAUCUAACGGAUAUGAAUGGUCGAAGAAGUAGAUCUAAUGACAGAACUUACAAGCACCAAGUGCUUUGUGCUUUUAAAAGUACGUAUCAUAACUGGACUAUAUAUAUAUAUAUAUAUAUAUAUAUAUAUAUAUAUAUAUAUAUAUAUAGUCCGGCUGGGGUACUAUCGAUAGCACCAAGGAUUUGGUGCUAUCGAGUUUUCCACUGUUAGAUUUAACCUUUUGAUUAUUUUUAUCCGUUAGAUUAUACUAUUCAACCAACCGCUCACUCAACCCUAGGGGGUCCACAUCAUCCUAACCACCAAUUUCUCAAUCCAAGGGCUAAAAAAUCAAUAGCACUAAUAACUUGGCGCUAUUGAUAGUAUUCCAGCCUAGUUCUAUAUAUAUAUAUAUAUAUAGAGAGAGAGAGAGAGAGAGAGAGAGAGAGAGAGAGAGUCCGGCUACUAUACUCUUAUGAAUACAAUCGCCCUCGUAUUCAUAAAUUGUUUUCGAUGAUAGAGCUUCCAAAUCGACAAUCCACACCGUUAAAUAUUAUCUAGAGCAUUUAAAACGUCUAGAAAUCAAAUUUUAUAAUUUUUCGACAUCAUUUACCUUAUGAUCAAAAUGUCACAAAAUUGACAAUUUUUAAGAGCCGGUAUGAGAUAUUUGCUAGUUUAAGGGUGAAAAAGAAAUCGGAAUAGAUUGAAUUUUGAUAGAAAAUUCUAUUCACUACCUAAAUAAAGAUCAAUAACUCCGAUCUUAAAUUGAAGGAUCCAAUCAUCUAUUUUUAGGAUGUAGUUCGAUUUUAACUGUUCAUUUUAUACCCGCUUGAUGGACUUUAUAAUGAUUUUGAAAAAUUAUGAAAUUUAUUUUCGAGAAGUUUCAAAUACUCUAGAUCAUUUUUAACGGUGUGGAUUGUCGAUUCGAAAACCCCAACAUCAAAAACAACUUAUGAGUACGAAAGGUUCUAUACUCACAAGAGUAUAGUAGCCCUACUUUAAAUAUAUAUAUAUAUAUAUAUAUAUAGAGAGAGAGAGAGAGAGAGAGAGAGAGAGAGAGAGAGAGAGAGAGAGAGAGAGAGCUAGGCUCCUAUGCUUUCGAAAGUAAGAAAGCCUCCGUGCUUGUAAGUUGUUUUCGAUGAUGGGACGUCCGAUUCGGCGAUCGGUUCCGUUAAACAUAAUCUACGCUAUUGGAAUUAUCUAGAAACCAAAUUUCAUAACUUUUUGACUUCGUUUGUUUAGUAAACUAGUAGCAUCAAAAUGAACGGCUGAAAAUAAAAAUCUCAUAAAAAAUAGGGAUAAAGGACUCAAAUUUCAAAUCGGAAGUAUUGAUCUUGCUAUUGACGUUAAGUAGAAUUUUCUAUUAAAUUUUCAUCUAAUUUGGAUACUUCUACACCGUUAAACUUAAAAACGUGACACAUCGGCCGUUAAAAUAGUCAUUUUUGAGACCUUUUGAUCGCUUGGUAAAUGAUGUCAAAAAUUAUAAAAUUUGGUUUCUAAAUAGUUCCAAUAGAGUAGAUUAUAUUUAACGGAGCCGAUCGUCGAAUCGGAUUUCCUAUCAUCGAAAACAACUUACAAGCACGGAGGCCUCCGUACUUUCGAAAGUACAGAAGACUUACUAUAUAUAUAUAUAUAUAUAUAUAUGUAUGUAUAUAGAGUUGGACUGGGCUACUAUUAGUAGCAAAAUCACAUUGUUGCUACCAGUUUUUUAGCCUUUGGAUCAACUCUUUUCAUUGUUUCUAACCAUUGGAUUAAAUACUAUAACCCAAUGGGGACCACUCAACCCUAGGGGGGACCACUCAACUCUAACCGACUAAUAUCAUCCUGACCCUACAAUUUUUCAUCCAAGGGUUAAAAACUUGAUAGCAAAAAGAGCGUUUUACUAUUAAUAGUAUUCAAUUUUUCAAUCCAUUCCUUAACUUUAGGAAGACUAUGCUCAAAUGAUCCUAACUCUAGGGUUGAAAUGUCAUAAUAUUUCCAUCAUUCUUUUCUUUGCAUUCUUUACUAUCACUUGUGUCAUAUACACUACUAUAUUCUUGGACUCAUGCCACACUUGUUUUCUAAGUGUUCAACAUACCAUAAGUGUUUCCACUAUACUAAUCAUAUGCCACUCGAUCUAAUAUAUAUAGAUUGUCCACGUCACAUAUCAUAGUUCAUAUGUCAUUGUUUUUCAAUGUCGAGUUCUCUAAUUCACCUAGAGUUUAUCGACCCAAGUUCAACAUGCAUGUGUCAUUUAACAUAAUCCACAAUAUGUCAAUAUACAUUCAUCUAGUAUAUUCUACAAUAAAUCAACAUGCACUCAUUCAUCAUAUUCC
rnacentral:lncRNA from 1 species